rnacentral:tRNA from 1 species
GCAUUGGUGGUUCAGUGGUAGAAUUCUCGCCUGCCACGCCAGGCCUGGGUUCGAUUCCCGGCCAAUGCA